ACCAGGAACUUUAACAAAGAGAUUGGAAGAGGAAGUGGGGGGAUUGUGUACAAGGGUGUCCUGCCAGAUCAUGGGGAAGCAGCGGUCAAGCUGCUAAACGAGGCGAAUCAAGGAGAAGAAGAGUUCCUGGCUGAAGUGAGAACAAUUGGGAAUCUCAAUCACAUGAACCUGAUUGCGAUGUGGGGUUACUGUGUGGAGGGAAGGCACAGGCUCUUGGUUUAUGAGUUCAUGAAUCACGGUUCCUUGGCAGAAAACCUUUCUUCCGAUCAACUCGACUGGAAGAAGAGGUAUGAGAUCGCGGUGGGAUCAGCCAAGGGGCUUGCUUAUCUUCACGAGGAGUGCUUGGAAUGGGUUCUCCAUUGCGACGUGAAGCCACAUAACAUACUCCUCGAUUCCGAUUACCAACCAAAGGUGGCUGAUUUUGGGCUGUCUAAGCUACUUAACAGAGAGGGCCUUAAGAAUACAAGUUUCUCAAGAAUCAGAGGAACGAGGGGUUACAUGGCUCCUGAAUGGGUUUACAAUAUGCCAAUCACCUCCAAAGUGGAUGUGUACAGCUAUGGAAUCGUUCUAUUGGAGAUGCUGACAGGAGGGAACCCAGUCGCAGGCCAUGCCAUCCGCGGAGAAAUAAAAGGCGACAACAAAACAUUCACUUCCUGGGUGAGAGAGAAGAUGAAACCAGGGUUGCCCAUGGAGACAUGGAUAAGGGAAAUUGUGGAUCCGACCGUAAAGGGACCUUACGACAUCAAGAAGAUGGAAGUUUUGGUUGCGGUGGCGCUUCAGUGUGUGGAGGAGGACCGAGAUGCGAGACCGACCAUGAGCCAGGUGGUUGAGAUGCUUUUGCGCCAUGAAAGUGAGGAUCUGUAAUCGAAUACAAGCAUAAUUGCUCAUGUUCUAGCUCUAAAUAAGUGGACAAUUACAAAGGCAAUAGUCUUUGGAUGUACAAACCUAGGAAAGAUAAUUUAGUAAGUGUUUAGGAACAAGUCAUUGUCUAUCUCUAUUUUAUCAUAUUGGAAAUCUAGAAAACAUUAUUUAACAGGAUAGUUCCCUAUAAAAAAGAUCAUUCAACAACGAGGAUGCAAUAGCUCUCUUGUUACUAUUUGUCUUUGGUGCGUCUGAUCCAGUCUUGUGAAUACACGGUUGAUUUGGCAUGGUUUAGAUCGGUAAAUAUAAAGGUACCAUAAGCGCACAAAAUAGUACGCUUCUUCUUAAUAACAAAUUAUUGACUAGAUAAAAUAGAUACAAUUUGUAAUAUUUUUUUUUUUGGUCGGAAUUUGUAAUUUUUGUUGACCCUCGAAUUUUUGUCAACGUUUAAAAUAUUAAUUUAUUUUGCAAAAAUAUAAAAAAAUAUAUAAAAAAGGUAAAAAGCAAAUAUAUAUAUAUAUAUAUAUAUAUAAUCGAAAAAAAAAAUGAAUGUAAUAAAAUGAAAAGUCGGGUCCAGUAGGCCCGCAUGUUCAACCCAUCCUUUCAAUGAAUUUUCGGCCCUUUCAAAAGUAAAGCCCAUCUUCCCAUUCAUUUCUUCCUUUCGGCCCACUUUUUCCCUCUAUCCGUUGAGCCCAUCUCUUUUAAUGUUUUCAUGGUCCAUUACAGUUUAAAAUAACAAAGAGAGACAAGAGCCCAGCCCAAUGUGAUUUCUUCCUCUUUGCUUACAUGAGCCAACGCCGUGAAGAGGAAAAGAAAAAGAGGCGCGGAUGAGGAGGGGACGGCAACGAGCAAAGCGCGAACGCGGGCCCGUGAGCGAGGGAGGAACAACAAGCUGUGAUGCAAGCAAAGCCAAGCCUUUUAGAAGGCUGAGCUGGCGUGAGGGAUGAGGAGAGGCCUAACCGAAAAAGAUUCGGAGAGAGGUGCGGGGAGCAUGCGUGAGGGACAUCCUGUUUUUUCUUCAUGCCGUUUGGGAAUUAAGAACAGAAAUUUCAAUCUAUAAGAUUAUGGUCUAAUCUUGUGAAGCCAGAGAUAUAUUUGUGAGGGACGAUAUAAUUUGGACUCUUAUAUAUCAUUUUUAGACAGAAAAUCAUAUCAAAGUCGGAUCGGAGGCUUGUUCUUGUACAGCACGUCACCUAUUUGAUAAAAUGCCCGAAUGAUAUACUGAAAUCCAUGCUAUCCGAUCGGCGUUAGAAGUUUAGUUUGAUGUUUCAUUGUUCUUAUAUUGUUGAAGGACGUCUCACUUUCGUGUUUUUUUAUGUGACGUGGAAACUAAUCUGUCGUGUCAUCGAGUCGGCCAUGGAUGAAUACCUCGCUGGAGAUGCUGUUCCUUCAGCAUAUCUCUCUAUUUUAAUGUGCUUGUGUUUGUUUGUUUGCCGAGAAUGCUGGUGUAAGAGGUUUAUGUAUGGUGAGAUGUUUAUUUUUUAUGUUUUAAUGGUCGCCGGAAUGGCCGAUCGGAAGUGAUGAACGCCGGUCGGUCGUGUUGGCCGGCGAUGAUUAGGACGGGGACCGGCGGCCAGAUGGCGGUGGUGUCGAGUGUUUCCCGGCGGCGGAGACGUAGGGGGAGUUCGGCCCCAUUAAAGGAGGAGCCAGUAAGUAAGUUGAAGACGAUGCCGGAUCGAAGAAGAUGGGCAGAAAAAGACAAAAUAGGGAAAAAAAAAAAAAAAAAGGAGAAAAGGAAAGCAGGAAAAAAGGGACCGUAGAAAAAUAAAAGGGCCAGGGGGUAUUCUGUUGUGGGCUGGGCUCAUUUCAAAAUGUGGGCGGAAAAAGAGUUAGAAGGAAAAAAGUUCAUGGCUUUUGUAAUUAAUUCUGAGCUGGCUUUCAGCGUUAAUAUUUUUAGCCCAACCCAAUCCAAUAGGGUUCGGGUUGGUUUACAUGGGUCGGGUCUCUUGACCCGGUCCGAAUCCCUUAUAUUAACAAUAAAUAAUUAAUUAUUAAAAUUUUUACAAAUUCAAAAAAAUUAAAUUUAAAUUUAAAAAAUUCGAAAAUGAAAAAUAUCAUCAUUAAAGAUUCAGAAAAUGAUAAAAAAAAAUUAAAAGCUUUAGGAAAUAAUAAAAAAUUUAGAAAUUUUGAAAAUCAAUCAAAAAAAUUAGAAAUUUUAGAAAAUAUUAAAAAUUUGAACAUUCAAAAAUGAUAAUUUAUUAUAAUAAAAAAUUAAGAGGAUCCUUUGGAACUAAAACCUAGAAUUGGAUAAGCCUUUAGGGUUUUAUAAUAGGGAUUCUUGUUUUGCUUUAUCUUGUUUUCUUUUUAAGGGACAAUUUAGGAUGCUUGCAUAUUCUCUAUUAUGAUUAUAAUUGACUGCACUUUUCAAUAUUCGGAUGCUAUUCCCUUGUUUUAGAAUGGUUAAAAUAAACCUUAUAAUUUUCUUGAUAGGUUGCCACAGCAUUAAUAAGCACAUGAUUAGGUUAGGAAUCGAAAGGGUGUUAACCUUAGGGCUAACAUAAUCAAGUACCCGAAUCCAAAAUCUCUAGUUACGUAAAUAGUAAGAUAUCAUCCCGUAUCUUAAUAGGUUUCUGAUCAAGCCAAAAAAGGCUAGUGGCGAUUCCUUAGUCAAAAUUUGCAUAAGCUUAAUUGAUUAAAAAUUUGAAUGCUCGAUAUUGCAUGAGGCAUAGGUUUGAGAAAGCUUGAGUCAAUGGAAGGCCAUUAGCCUGAAGUUGACAAUACCCCUAAAUACAACAAACUCCCUCCCCCACGAGAGGGGUUACAUUGCAACAAUUUCCUUUUUAGACAUUGUUUUUUCAACAUAAAUAUCUCCACACACUUCUUCAUUCUUUUUCAACCGUGCUUUGCUAUGAGCUAGUCUACUACCUAAACCAAAGUGGUUCACUUGGGUUACAGAAUUUGCCAUCUAAAAAUAGUUCAAACCCGUUGAUACCAAAAGUUGAUUUGGUUAUCGAUAAGCUUGUGCUUAGCACGAGAAUGAGAAAUAUGUGGCAUAUGAGUAGGGAUACGUAGCAGCCACAUGCAUAAUGCAUGAGCGUCACCUUAUACAGCCGUCAACAAAUACAAGAGCUAACACACAGUGAUUAACGACGAUUUCUUUAAUAUUAUGUGUCUAGUUGUCGAAAUAUGAUAACGAACAGUUGGUGGCUGCCUAUAUGAGCGCUAGUAGCAAAUUUUCAUUGGAAGUAUUUCAAAUACUAUUCAAAUUACCAAGACGGUGGGCAUCGAGAAUGCACGUUGCGGAGGGAGCUGUUGCCAUUCACACACCCUAUCAUGGAACGAUCGUUGAUGACUACAAAACCAUCAACGCACAAUGAGGACUAUUAUACAAAACACGGGCAAGUGAAGCUUGCGGGAAUGAAGGAGUAUGGGCGAGGCCAAUGGAAGUUACUUAGAAAAACAAUAUCUAAGCAUAGUCGAGGAGCAAUUACUACACCUUUGCUAUAAGUGCCACCAACUAUCCAACAAGAAACCCUUGGCAUGAAUCAAACAAAAUAUUAUCUUUCAAUUAUCUUUACUUUCCUACAUUGUACUUUAAAUUUCCUUAGCUAUAGUUUCAUAUUCACAUCGUCGAUUAGAUUCUAACAUGCAUUUUUAUCCGAUACCUUGUCAUUGAUUGAAUUCUAGCAUUGUAUCUAAAUAUCCUUGAUUUAUGUUAUCGAUUGAAUUCUGGCAUAAUUCAAGAUUGAUCUUGUAACUUUUGGGCCUUGUCAUUGAUUCAAUACCUUGUUGUUUUGAAUAUGUGUCGAAAUUUGAGAUGUCUAUUAUUAGAAAUUGGACUAUAUUUUCUUCCAUUUUCUCUAGUCAUGCCUUUCCUUUUAGGCUAUAAAUAUGAACGUUGCCCAUUUUAAUUGUUAGUUAAUUUUCACGUUAUUGAUGUCCAUAUUUAUACCCAAUGAAAAAUAGAAAAAUUAUGUAGUCUUUAUAUAUUUAUACUUUAAUCUAUUUAAUGCAAGGAUUUUGGGAGAUCCACGGAGAAAAUUGCUGAUUCUGGCACAAACAUUGUGAAUUAAUUGUUUAGUAUGCUGAAGUGGAUGCUUAGUGGAAAAAAAAAAUAGAAAUGUCAAAAAUUUUGUAGGCAAUUCAAUUUAGUGUUAUAACUUUUAGGUCACUCAUUUAAAUUCCUCAACUUUCAAAAUGUCAUCACAUAAUUUACACUAACGUCUUUGAUGGCUGAAAAAGGUGAUGUGGCAUUAUUUUUUAUGAUAAGCCUGCUCCUCCAUGGCUCUUCUACAUAAUUAACAAUAUAAUGUGGCAAAUGGGUGUGGAAAUUGUAAUAUUUGAUUGAGAAGGGUAGGGCCUGGGAAAAAAAAAAAGAUAGAUAAAAAGUUGAAAAGUCAAAAAAAAAGAAAGGAAAAGGAUGUUCAACUCCUUUGGAGAAUAAGAGCUUACCUAGAAAAAAUGAGAGAGAAAAGAUAAAAAUAGAAAUAAAAAGAAAAGAGAGGAAGGGAAAGAAGAAGGAAAAAAGGGGGAAAAGGUAAAGAAGGAAUUUACGAAUACAUGCCAAGGUGGGCUCAUCUAACCGAAUUUAUUUCGAUUUGGAACGGCCAAUAAGGAUUUAAGCCAUUCGUUCGUUUAAUCAUAAUAGUUUUCAAAAUUAUGGCACAAUCUCAAAGUUAUGUAUUUGAAUUGCAAGGCCUAAAUUUUGAAUUGUUCAUCUAAGAAAUUUCAUAGGAAUCGUGGAUUAUGUGAAUAUGAGAUGCAAAGUAAUGGGGAGUGGUAAGAAAAUGAGUCAUCUUUGUUCAUGCACUGUAUGUUUGCCAUAAUAGGCUUCAACUUUGGGAGGAAUUACGUGAGAUAAGUUCUAUAAAUAUGUUACCUUCGGUGUGUUUAAGGGAUUUAACGAAGUAUUAUUCCAUUAAGAGAAAGCAAGGAAGUGCAUGGCUGAGAAUUAAAAAAUAAUAGCUUUUCGGAAUUUUCUAGAUUCUUGUUUUUUUAUGGACAUACACGGCAAGGGAUGUGCCUUUACUUAAUGGAAUAAUAAGGAAGGGGACAAUCACAUUAAAGAAUGUCUUGAUAGGGUGGUGUUCACCAUUGAAUGGAAAUUAUUAUUCCCUGAAGCAAAAGCAUUUGCACUUCCAGCCACUGGGUCAAACCAUAGUCCUAUCCUUUUAUCUUUCAAGCUUGAACCUGUUAAAUGGAGAAAAGGGUUCAAGUUCAAAGCCUUUUGGCUUGAGAAUGAUGAAUGUAGAACAAUUGUUAAAGAGACUUGGAACUGUACUUACUAAGUAGGGAUAAAGGUAGUUGCGAAGUUACGUGCAGUGGUAUUGCCUUAUCCAAAUGGAGUAAAAAAACUUGUAGGAAUGGACAUAAAAGAAUAGACUCAUUGAAGCAGGAACUUCAACAAUGGAUAAACAAUAAUGGAGGAUAUUCCGAAAUGGAAAGAGUCAAGCACUUACAAAGGGAAAUUGAGGCAUUAUGGAGGUAGGAAGAUAUGUAUUGGGGCUGAGAAUAAGAAUUAAUUGGCUGAAAUGUGUGACAAAACCACGAAAUUCUUUCAUGCCACCAUUGUUUAACAACAUCAAAGAAUUUCCAUGUCGCAAAUAUCAUAAGGAAUAUGGGUUGAAGAACCAAGCCUUCUUAAGGAAACUACACUACAAUUUUUCUUAGAACUAUAUCAAUCUAUUGGACCCCAAAUGUUCUUUCCUGUUUUAGAUCAAUGCUCUCGAGUGGUGACAGAAUAAUUGAAUCAAUUGAUGUAGAUGCUUUGGAAGAAUUAAAAUGUGUAGUUUUUUGACUUCGUGCAUCUAAAGCACCAAGGUCAGAUGGCCUUAGUGAAUAGUUUUACUAAGCUGGGCAGAAAUCUAGAGUGAGGUCUUCGAAGCAGUAAAGGUAAUAGGACCCAUAUUUCACUUAUCCCAAAAGUCCCUAAUCUCGAGAGGUCAAACCAAUGACGGUGAAUAGGCUUAAUUCGUUGUUGCUAGAUCUAAUGCUACAAAGCAGAGUGCAUUCGUUGGGGAACGCAAAUUUAAGAUAAUAUAUUCAUUGUAUAAGAGAUGCUACAUCAAAUUAGAAUUUGCAAAAGAAAAAGAAAUUCCAAGCAAUUCUAAAACUUGGAGGUGUAGACUUUUAGAGUGCCAAAACUUAACAUGGGGAGACACUUUAGUGCCAAAAAUUUCAAAAGGCACACUUAAAUUACCAAAAUCGGAGGAAAAAUAGAACACCCAAGUGCCAACAACGAGAAAUUAUGGUCAAACUACUAACAUGGCAUUUCUUCGGUGAGAUAAGUACAAAACAACAUCGUUUUUUGCAUUGACCUGGCUAGAUAGGUGCAAAAUGAUGUUUUUUACGUUGACAUGGCCCCAAAAUUGAAUUUUAAUAUAAAUAUUAAUUAAAAUAUUUUUAUAAAGGGAGAGUAGGUUCGACGAGGGCUAUGCAAGCCCUUGCCAAAGCUUGCUGUAGAUCCCAUUUUUUUAAUAAAUAUAUAUUUUAUUUUAAUUAAUAUUUAUAUUAAUAUUCAAUUUUGGGGCAAAAUGAAGUCAUUUUUGUCAAGUCAUUGUUGAGUUGGCUUCCGGCGAGUCACGUAGACCACAUAUAUUAUUAAACAAAUGCCAUGUCAAAUUUCUAGCUACUCUCGCAGGACUUGGCACCGAUGUGUCCCACUUUUCAAAAAUAGUGACACUUAAGUAUAUCUUUUAAAACAUUCUGCGCUAAAGUGUCCACGUGUGCCAAGUUCUCGCACUCCUGGUGUACUUUAUCCUGGAAACUUGAUAUGAAAAAGGCAUGCAAGCAAGUGGAGUGGUACUUCUUUAAGGCACAUUUAAUUAGAAUAGGUUUUGAUGAAAAAUGGGUGGAUAAUGCAAUGCCUCACAACUAUCUCAUUCGGUGUCAAGUUUAAUGGAGAGCCACUUCAAUAUUUUAAGCCAACAUGAGGGAUUAGUUAAGGGAACCCAUUAUCCCCCUACUUAUUUAUUCUGGUGGCUAAUGUAUUAUCCUCACUAUUGAAGAUUGCAGUUGAUAAUGGUAGCAUAGGGAUUAUACUUAACAAUGGAGUCCUACCCUUUCUCAUAUACUCUUCGCGGAUGGCUUCAUCAUCUUGUUAGAAAGGAAAUUCUGGAACGUCAGAAUUUGGCAACAAUUUUAAAUCAAUACUAUGUACCAUUUGGGAAAGAGGUAAAUUUGAACAAGUGUGGGAUUUAUUUCAAUAGGGACUACCCCAUAGCUUAAAAGAGAAUAUGACAAGGGUGCUAAGACUACCUAUAAUGGAUAAAACAAGGAAAUACCUCGGGACUCCUUCGGAUUGGGUAGUAUCAAACAAAUAGAUGUUUGCUUGGAUUUUGAGACGGGUAAGCACAAAGUUAAAAGGAUGGAAUGAGAAAAUUAAUGUCAAAAGCAAGGAUUGGAAUCGAAAGCUAUAAACGGGGAGCUUAUGUAAAAGGAUGUCAUCGGAGCUUAUGUAAAAGGAUGUCAUCUUGCAGCGACAAGAUAUAGAAGAUUCACGUAUGUCGAGCUAGAAAGCGACCAAAACUUCCAUGAAGAGAUUAAAAGAGGAAGUAGGGGAUUGUUCAGGGGCCUUAUGCAAGAUCAUCGGGUAGCUACGAUCAAGUGGAUGUAUGUUGUACUUUAGUUGGUACGUCCAUGAUGAGGUGCGAUUGGAACGCACCGUUUCGUCUUGAUGCGUUACGAUGGAAAGACACUAAUGGACGGGUACGAAGGAAGACGUAUAAAAGCCUCCCAAACACAACCGUUGGAGGGGUUGGCAGAACAUACGAUCAAAAAAUUCUCUCAUUUGUUUGUUCCAUUUCCAUCAAAGGGAUAAGGCGUUCCAUUUCACUUUUGCAAGAACAAUUUGCAUAUACGCUGCGGAAAUUGGGUGUUUUCCUUGUGAUUGCAUCUAGACCGGCAUGAGAUAGUUUUUGUUCGUGAUUCAUCGACAAUUCAACGUUCAUUCCAGGGCUAAUUAAAGUUUGCGCAUCGGAAUCAGGUAAGUCGUCUUCCGCCGACUUGAAUUCCAACAUUGGUAUUAGAGCUCGGUCGUGGUUUCUACCUUGUUUUUCAUCGAAUUAUCCAGUUCACCAUUUGAUAUUGAGAUUAAGAGUAUGAUAUCUACAAUUGUUGGAUGUUUAUUAAUCGAAAUUGAUGUGAAUUGUCGAAAAAUCGAACCAAAGUGAAGAACGGGUUCGGGGUCGCGUGCAUCCGUGCAAUUUUCGCCAAUUUUUGAAAUAUUUUUUUUGGCCAAAAUCAACUUUUGAAUAUACAAGGUGAAAGUACUCGUCGAGAUGAGUCCGACGGUGGUUCGAGUGCACCCAGAGGAGGCUGGACGCGCCCACACGCGUGGCCAGAAGCUGUUGCGCGUGGGAUCCAUGCGCUGGACGUGCUAGGGACACCAGCGAACAGGCGCGUGACGUCAUGCGCUGACAUCGGCGAACUGACGUGUGAGCGUCACGCGCGCAUCGACGAAGCGACGCGUGCUAACGUCACUAAUGACGUCAUCCAAUGGUCGGUAACUGCUUGGAUGACGUCAUCGAUGACAUCAUAGCCGAAAAAGUUGGCCGGCCGGUCACCGGUCGGCGACUCGACCCAUGACCCGACCGUUGACCGGUCAACGGUCAAACCGGUCAAGUGGUCCAGUGGUCAAACCGGUCAGACCGGCUAGGAGCCGUUUGGCUCGCUGGCGCAUGCGCCACACGUGCCGCGCACUCAGGCGGCGCGUGGGGCCGUGUGCAGGCUCCGAUUGGAGUGUGGUCAGUGGCGUUUGGUUCGUAUGAACGUUUUCUACACAGUAGUAUAAUUAGUUUAUACUUUUGAAUUUUAUAAAUGUAUGAAAAUGCAUAGGAAACCCUAUGUACACGUAAUUUUUGGGGUUUAAUGCAUAAUUUAUUUAUUUGUAGCUUGUAUUUUCUUGUGGUUUAGUAAAUACAGUAGCUAGCUUGUGUGCAAAUGAUGUCAUAUAUGUUGUGUAGAGCUUGGUUCGAUAAUAUCGUGUAUAUAAUUUUAUAUACUUGUAAUUUUCUAGUUGCUAGAAGAUUCAAACAAUGAUAGGAAAUCCAUUGCAUGUUGAAUUGCGAUUUUGAUUAUAGUUGAAGUAUGAUUGUUGCUUAUAAAUUGGUUAUUAUCAUGCUAUGUUUUUUUGUUAUGGAAAAAUAUAGAAAUUACAUGAGAUCAUGUAAUUAUUUUUCCUAAUGGGAGUUCGUAGGUUGGUAGAAUUUGAAAGAGUUCUCACCUAGAACUUAAAAUUUGCGCAAAUUAAACUAAUUAAUGGUAAUAGAACAAUUGUACAUAGAAGUUGAUUUGGAACAUAGUGAACUUUUGCCUCUGUGUCUUUUGUUGAAUUAUCAUUAAUUUAGUUUGUCUUUGCUACAAAUUAAAUAUGUGCGUUACUCAAUAAAGUGUGCUAGUAUUGAUUCUGCGUUUAUUAUGUCAAUGUGAUAUAGCAAUUGAUUAUGGUUUCGGCAUCCAAGACCAAUGUGGCUGACCUCAAUAAAAGUGAGAAGCUGAACGGUGACAAUUAUGAUAUUUAGCAUCGAAAGGUUCAGUACAUCCUUGAGGAGCAAGAGAUUUUGGAAACCCUCAACCAUACUAUGGAUGAACCUGAGUAUGGAACUUCAGGUCAACACAGGAAAGAUCUAGAAGCUUAUCAAGUUUGGAAAAAGAAAAAUAACAUUGCUCGCAUCACGUUGCUGAGCUGUAUGCAAGAUGAUCUCAUGUGUAAGUUUGAAAGUUAUGAUAAAGCUCAAGUUAUGUGGGUUUUCUUGAAGGAUAAGUUUGGGGGUACAUCUACCACUAAGCUAAGGAGACUCACCAUCAAGUUUGACACAUUCCAAAAACGCCCAAAUAUAACGAUGAGGCAACAUUUUCGGCAGAUGUCAAACAUGAUUCGUGAGUUGAAGUCAAGAGGUCACUCCUUUACUGAUGAACAACAAGUUUAGACUGUUAUAAGGUCUCUUCUUGACAAUUGGGAGCAUAUGAACAUCAAUAUGACGCAUAAUGAGAAUAUUGUCACUUUUGAUGAUAUUGUGUGUCACUUAGAAUUAGAUGAUGAGCGCCUAGAGGCUGCAAGAUCCUCUACCCAUGCUUAUGUUGCUAAAUCGAGUUCGCGCAAAGUUUUGGGCUUCAAGCACAAGAGGAAUCUUCAGUUCAACAACAAAGGGAAGAAGACUGAUCAGGCACCCAAAAAGGCUAAGACCUUCCGACGCAAGAAGCAUGGUGGGAAGAAGGACAAGGCCAAGAUGGAGUGCUACAAUUGUGGCAAGAUGGGUCACUUUGCUCAUGAAUGCACUGAGCCAAAAAAGGUACCCUAUUACUCUAUUACUUUGAGUAAUGCUUUUGUUUCUAGUACUAUAAUGAUUGAUGAAUCUCAUCCAAUGUGGACUGUAGACUCAAGAGCAACAGACUCCGUAGCUAGAGACCGAGACGCAUUUGUGGAGUAUCGUUGGAUAUUGCUUGGAAGAAGAUGGAUAUAUGUUGGGAAUAACUCAAGAGUUGGAGUGAAGGGUAUCGGCACACGUAAAUUAAUCUUACGUGUUGGUCGAAACCUAUUUCUGCAUGAUAUCCUUUGUGCUCUAGAUAUUCGAUGAAACUUGGUCUCUGUAGUUGUUCUUCUUAGCUUAAGUUAUGUAUUGAAUUUCCAUGGUGAUUGUGUUGACAUUUUGUAUGGAACAGUUUAUUAUGGUUCAAGUCAUGUAUCAAAUGGUUUUAUGGUGUUAGACAUUGAUUAUGAUCAGUACAAUGUUAAUGUUGAUAGUUUUUUUUCUUUAAUUGCAUCUUUUAAUAACGUUGAGAUUGAUGCAAGUACUUGGCAUACUAGAUUAUGUCACAUUGGAUUGCAAAGAAUGCAAAGAUUAGCUAAAGAAUGCCUUUUAGGGUCACUCACUAAUGUUAGUCUAUCCGUAUGUGAACAUUGUCUAGCGGGAAAAUUAACUAGAAAACCAUUCAGUAAAGUAACUAGAGCUGAAUUUUCAAUUCCAACUCAUACAUUUUGACAUUUGUGGUCCUUUGAAUGUGAGGGUGAGGCAUGGAGCCUUAUAUUUCAUCACUUUCAUAGAUGACUUCACAUGUUUCGGUUAUGUCUUUCUGAUCUUCCAUAAGUCAGAAGCAUUAGACUACUUUAGACAAUAUAUAGCGAUGGUAGAGAAUCAGUUGAACAAAACAAUAUAGGUAUUGAGAAUCGAUCGUGGACGUGAGUAUCUAUCGGAGCAAUUCAAGGCUCUUUAUGAUGAAAAGGGAAUUGUACGACAAUUGACUAUUCCUGGUACUCCACAACAAAAUGGGGUAGCUGAGAUAAGGAAUAGAACCCUAUUGGAAAUGGUUAGAUCUAUGAUGGCGUAAGCAAAUUUACCUAUUUCCUAUUGGGGAGAUGCAUUAUUGACUGCUACCUUUAUACUUAAUUGAGUGCCCUCAAAAUCGAUCACUUUCACCCCUUAUGAAUUAUGGACUGGUAGGAAACCAGACUUGAGUAGUCUAAGUCCAUGGGGAAGUGCAGCUUAUGUUCAUGAUUCUUCCCAUAAAUAUGGCAAAUUAGGUCCCAGAGGGAAGAAAUGUAUCUUAUAGAUAUUCUAAACACUCCAAAGGGUACGUGUUUAUAGGUGAACAAGCUAAUGGAAGUGUGACCGAAAUGGAGUCACAAGAUGUCACGUUCUUGGAGAAUGAUUUUCCUAGUAGAGGUGAGAUUGAUAAGGACUUUCAAUUAUAUUAAAUGGAAGAUUCUAAUAACACAUCCACUGAUGUUGUAGAGGGAAAUGAAAAUUUACCUCAACAUGCAAGACCUAGUGGGAGUGUUGCAUCGCCUAACGAAUUGAAUUCAAGAGAAAUUCAAUUGCGUAAAAGUAAUCGUAAAAGUAUUCCUUGUCGUCAUUUUGAGGUUGAAGGGGAAGCAUUUAUGAUUGCUUAGAAUGACGAUGCUGAGCCUAAGACUGUUCAAGAGGCUCUCUCAUCCUCUAAUAAGGAAAAAUGGAGAAAAAAUUUGGAAGAUAAGAUGGAGUUAAUGAGGGCAAACCAUGUCUGGGACUUGGUUGAUCUACCACUCAAUCAUAAGGCCAUUGGAAACAAAUGGGUCUUCAAGAUUAAGCGAAGGGCAGAUGGAUCCAUUGAAAAGUAUAAGGCUCGCCUUGUGGCGAAAGGUUAUACUCAACAAGAGGGUAUAGAUUAUGAGGAAACCUUUUCACCAGUUGUAAGUUUUGCCUCAAUACGCCUUAUUCUAGCUAUCGUUGCACAUUUGGACCUUAAAUUACAUCAGAUGGAUGUACAGACGGUAUUUCUUAAUGGAGAACUAGAUGAGGAAAUCUAUAUGAAACAACCAGUAGGUUUCAUAGCUAAAAGGUCAAGAGUAUAAAAUUUGCAAGCUUCAUCGCUCAAUAUAUGGCCUUAAGCAAUCAUCUAGACAGUGGUAUAUUCAUUUUCAUCGAGCCAUAACCACUUUUGGUUUCACGAUGAAUGAGGAAGAUCACUGUGUAUAUGUCAAGCGGUCCGAAGAUAAAUUUGUGAUUUUAUCACUUUAUAUGGACGAUAUUCUAUUGGCUUUUUAGGUUUUGGUUAUCACCAUAAAAGAAUGGUUGUCAUCUAAUUUUGAAAUGAAUAACAUGGGAGAAGCUGCUUAUAUAUUAAGAGUUAAGAUCGAAAAAGAUCGAUCAAGGAAACUCCUUACUUUAUCACAAGAGUCUUAUAUUAUGAAGAUUCUUGAGCAUUUCAAUAUGUAGCAUUGUAAUCCCAUUGAUACCAUUGUCAUGCAAGGUGAAGGCCUAAGUACUGAGAUGUGUCCUAAGACUUCAGAAGAAAUUAAAGCAAUGAAAUUGUUCCUUAAGCUAGAGCGGUCAGAAGUUUGAUGUAUGCUAUGAUGUGUACUAGACUGGACAUAUGCUAUGCCGUGGGACUGGUGAGCCAAUAUCAAUCAAAUCUUAGUUAAGAAAACUGGAAAGCAGUGAAGAGGAUCCUGAGAUACUUGAAGGGCACUAUGGACUAUUGACUUUGUUACCAAGGGAAUGAUUUACGCCUAUUGGGUUAUUCAUAUGCCGAUUGAGGUGGAGACCUGGAUGAGCGUAAAUCGACUUCUGGAUAUGCAUUCUUGUUCAAUGGAAAUGCGAUUUCUUGAAAUAGCAAGAAACAGACAUGCACGGCCUUAUCUACGAUGGAGGUAGAAUUUAUUGCAUGCUCUGCUGCAGUGCAAGAAGCAGUAUGGCUAAAACGUUUCUUAGAAAAUUUAACCACUGUCACUGAGGUUCCAAGACCGGUGACAGUUUAUUGCGAUAGUCAAGCUGCUCUUGUCUAUGUGAAGGAUCCCAAGUAUCAUGGAAGGACAAAGCACAUUGACAUAAAGAACAACUUCAUAAGAGAUAUGAUAGCGCAAAAAGAAGUGAUCCUACAAUAUAUUUCAACCAAUAGAAUGGUUGUUGAUUCAUUUACGAAGGCUAUUCCUAGAGACAUAUUCUUGACCCAUAGGAUGUCACUAGGAUUGUGUAGAAUGUGAUAUCUGUUAUUGUAGAGGAUCGUUGAUUUAUGUAUUUGUGGACAUAUGUAUUGUACUUGUUUAUUUAUUAGUGAUUUGAUGUUUUAUCAAUAAGUACAAAUCCACUAUGAGACUAGCACAAACACACAUAUAUUAUUGAAAAGUAUGUCAGCAGGCAAUGAUUGGCUCACUCACACGAGCAAUCGCCUCAAGUGCUUUAGAUAGCACAUUGAGAUGAGAUGUUAUGUACAAAUAAAUGCUGAAGAGCAAGUCUGGUACAUAAAAUAUGUCGCCUUGAUUGGAAUCAAGAGGAGGUCUGUGAUUUGUUUAUAAUAAGACCGAACAUGAUUGUCCCACAAUCAUGUAUGCCUGAAAGAUGCCGGAUGCGAGUAUUUAAUUGGGUGCUAUAGAAAGCGAGCUGAUAUAGCACUUGAGCUAAAUAUAAGUACAUGAGAAGCACGUGACUAUGUUUACACUAAGAUAUGUAUAAUGGAUAUAUUUGAUAAAUGACAUACGCUCUUAUAGAAAGAGAAAUCCACUAUAGCAUGUAAUUCAUACUACAUGUGCAUUAUACGAUCAAUAAGGGAAGAUGAGUAAAAUUAUCCCUAUUUACUCAUCGUGUGAGCCCUUGAGGUAAUUUAUAAUUUACCUCAAUUUUGUGCCCUAUGUUAGUUCUGACUAUGUUCUCGAAGUGAAAGAUCCAUGUUGCUACUUUAGCAUGUUACGGGCGGUCAUGAAUAGAUAUGGCCUUAUGGGAUGUGUCUAGGAAAGCAGUUGUUCUGAAAUGGAGAGAGACAUGAGUGUGCGAAGGAACACUAUUGUUGUUUUACAUCUAUCACAUGUAUUUAAUGGUCGACCAAUUAUAUCGCCAUAUGUGGUUGCGGAUAUACUUGUAAAUACAUGAUGUGUUUUUUAGAAUAGUCAAGUAUAGCCUUUAAGGGAUAUAUAUAAUUGAACUGAUGUAACAAAAUAUGUCUGGGGCACUGUGAGACAUCGAUUGUUUAUUUAUUUUCGGGGUUGUAGCCAUUAUGUCAUCCCUAAUAGGUGCAUAAUUUGAGCUCAUAAGUACAGGUGUACUCACUGGUUGCACGGCUUAUUUGCCAGUAUGAAUUGUUUUGUAAAGUUGAUGAAUGUUGAAUGCCUUAUAUUCUUGAUAGAGCACUAUCAAGCCCACCAUGUCCGAGUGGGAGAUGUUGUAUUUUAGCUAAUACAUCCAUGAUGAGGUGCGAUUGGAACGCACCGUUUCGUCUUGAUGCGGAGCGUUGGAAAGACACUAAUGGAGGGGUACAAAGGGAGACGUAUAAAAGCCUCCCGAACACAACCGUUGGAGGGGUUGGCAGAACAUACGAUCAAAAAAUCCUCUCAUUUGUUUGUUCCAUUUCCAUCAAAGGUAUAAGGCAUUCCAUUUCACUUUUGCAAGAACAAUUUGCAUUUACGUCGUGGAAAUCGGGUGUUUUCCUUGUGAUCGCAUCCAGACCAAUGUGAGAUAGUUUUUGUUCAUGAUUCAUCAACAAUUCAACGUUCGUUCCAAGGCUAAUUAAAGUUUGCGCAUCGGAAUCAGGUAAGUCGUCUUCCGCCGACUUGAAUACCAACAAUGUACGAUGUUAACCAAGGAGAAGAGGCCUUUUAGGCUGAAGUGAGAACUAUUGAGAAUCUAAAUCACAUGAACCUUGAUCAAGAUGUGGGGGUACUGUGCAGAGGGCGAGCACAGGCUCUUGGUUUAUGAGUUCAUGGAUCACGGUUUUUUGUCUAAAAAUCUUUCUUCCCCUCAACUCGACUGGAUCAAAAGGUUUGAGAUCAUCGUAGGAGUAGCCAAAGGGCUUGCUUAUCUUCAUGAAGAGUGUUUAGAAUGGGUUCUCCAUUGCGAUGUGAAGCCACAAAUAUACUUAUUGAUUAAAAGUUGGCGGAUUUUGUGCACUCUAAGGCCAUGUUCGGUAACCAACCAAACAGUAACUAUUUAUGUUCUUUUGUUCCUCCAAACAUAAAAAGAACAAAAAGCCAUUGUUCCUAGGAAUAGAUUUGGAACAGAAUUAAAAAGUAAAAAAAAAAAGCUACUUCUUUGUUCAGUAACUACUUCUCCUUCUUCUUCUUCUUCUUCUUCUUCAAUUGGUCACGUUAUCGGUCCUCAAUGAGGUUAAGCCUAGUCGAGCCAAGCCUCCCCAUGUCUAGGCGAGCUCGGCCUCACUAGAUCUGGACAAGGUCGACCUCGUCAGAGGCCCAUGACACUCCAAUAAGGUCAUCGGCCAAGGUUGAGGUCGGCAAUUGAGAAGAAAGUAGAAAAAGAAGAAAAGGAAAAAAGAAAAGAGAAACUUUGUAAUAAAAUUAUUACAAAAUUAAAAGAAAUUAUAAGUUGCAAAAGAAUUUGUGAGUCAUAUGAAACACAUUUCUAUACCAAGAAUAGAAAUUUUGGACAGUUGUCAAGUGCCUUCAAAUGUUCAUAAAUUUAUCCAAGAAAUAGAAUCAGAAAAAAUCAUUUAACAGAAAUUAUUUUCGAGAACAAAAGGAUUACCAAAUACACCCUAAGCUUCUUAAUAAAAAUGGCCCUAAGAAUAUUAAUUUCUCUCUUACUUUUCUGAUUGUUUAGGACAUAUUUAGUUGAAUAAAUGAAAUAGAUUGUGAUCAAAGCCGAAAAGCCUUUUCUCUCUCUCUCUCUCUCUCUCUCUCCUCUCUUUUCUUUCUAUUGUCUUCUUCAUCCUUAAGCCACGGGGGAGGGUUUGAGCUAGUCUCAUCUUCCCCUUCCUUAUUUGUUGAUUCUUUUUUUGCAUUUUAUUGUUAUAAUCUUUCUUUUUAUUCCCUGCUGAUUUUAGAUCUAGUCUAGUUCUCAAUUUUAAAGUUUAAACUCCCCUGAUCUAAUUUUAGAUUUGGGUGCUACCUUCUCCCGUUCUAGAUCUAAGAGUUUAAUAAACAUGCUUUCGGGGAUUUGAUCCCCUUCUACUCUGGUCGUGUACAAAUUCCACACCUUCAGCUUCAAUGAUGAUCAUUUUAGUAUCUUGUUAAAUUAUGAAAAUUUGCUCAUCUAUAUGUUAGAUCUAUAUUUAUUCAAUCUACUUUGGUUGUCUAUGUACAACAAUGGUAUAGAUGUAGCCGAACUUAGGCGUGCACCACCAAUUGGUAGCUUCAUAGUUGUUGGAGAAGGAAUUUCCGACAUGUGCUUAUCAUUGAUAAAGACACGAGAUCUAGUAAUCAAAUGUUGAUUUUUGCUUGACAAAUAUGUUCUUAUGGAACGAGUGUAUGCAUUUCAAUAUUGCAUCAUUUCAAUAAAGACACCUCUACUAGUGCUCUGUUGAUGCAUUUCAAUAUUCUUGCUUUGUUUCAAUUUGCUUUAUCAUGAAUAUAUACUUCCAUAUCCUUUUGUAUAAUGAAUACAUUUUUCUUUCAAUCAAAAAAAAAAAUUUGGGCGUAUUUGUUUAGUAAAAAAUUUCAUGAUUCCUGAAAAUUAUAUCAUUUUCCACAAAAAUAUUUUUUUCAUUUUCAUUUUCAAAUUAUAUCACUUUAAACAUGUAUGUCUUCUUUUCAUAAAUGGUUCUUCGUUGACUGAUCAUUUUCAACAAACCAAAUGAGUAAAAGUCCAAAAAACUAAUUCGUAUAAAGCUUUUUCAUUUAAACAAACAUGCCCUUAAAAAAUGUGGACUUCCUUGUUUGGGGCGUGCAGGUGUUUGUGGUCGGCUUACAAGCUUCAUCCUCAUAAAGUGAGCUCGCAGAUUUUGCACAUCAUUACUAAAAAAAAAAAAAUGGCAUAAUGAAACAUGAAUAAAGCUAAGGGUUAAUAUCCUGAAAAACCUCAAACUGAAUAUAUCUGUCAUAAAUUUAUCCCAAAAUAAUCAUAAAAAAUUCCAAACUUGUAGAUUUGUAACAAAUUUAUUCAACCUCUAAAAAUCUUAAAACUGCUACAUUUGCGAAAAAUAUACCAUCUAUUAAAUUAGAUUAAUAUCACAAAAAAUCACAAAAAUUGUACAAAUGUAGCAAACAUAAAGUAAAAUCCCAAACUGAUACACUAAUCAACUGUCACAUGCCAUCCAAUUCAAUAAUUUGACAGUAAAAUUUAACGAAGACUAACAAAUGGUAAAUUUGUCAUAAGUAUAUCAGUUUUUUGUAAAUUUAUCAAAGGUGUACCAAUUUGGGAUUUUUAGUGGUAAAAAAAUUAGUCUAGGUAAAUUUAUCACAUGUAUAUUAAUUUGGAGUUUUUUAAGGUAUUAAUCCUAAAGAUAAAUAUCAAGCAUUGGCUCUGUGAAAUUGGCAAUGAGGGAUGUCAAUUGCAAUUUUGUUGAGGACAAAUUGUAACCAUUCGAAUAGACACCUCUAACUAGUAGCUAAUGACUUCUUCUGUUGGAAAGCAGAAACUUUACAGCUUUUAAAAAUACUACCACUGGAUGGAUGGUACAUACUACGAAGCCACCUUUUUCUCAAUGAUGUAAUAUUUCUAUGACUAAUCAAACAUUCUAAGUUGGAUUAGUCAACACGAAUAUAGUGACAAAUGUAGACUCAUUUCUUGGGACAGUAAUGUGGAAUUAAUGGAAUCACGAGUUGUGAUGUCAAAUGCAUGAAAUGAUUGGCUAAAUUUUUUAAUUACUAGUCAAAAUGGUAAUAUUUAGCUCAAAUUUACGAGAUUGGUCGCACUUGGUAAUGGCACAAGAAAUCAAAUUAAUUUGUGCACUUUUUCCACCCGUUGGCACACAUGCACAUUUCAAACCUAGUUAAUAAUCUAGUCCCGUGGGUUAAGUGAGAGGACCUCAUCUCUAAUUCCGCAACAUCUAAGGUUGGCUAUGACAACGUGCUCCAUUUUUCAUUGGGAUAAUGACAAUGAAAAUCCUAAAACUUUCUUUUUUUCUUUUUUUCUUUUUUUGUAAAAGUAAUAUUUCAUUGAUUCUACAAAAGUACAAAAGAGGAACAAUGCAGCUCAACUACAAACCAAAAUAAACCUUUUGCAACUUCAUAUUAAAAAUAAAUUGCAAAUAACAAGAUAGUAAUAUUUCAUUAAUUUCUAAAAAAAUACAAGAGAGAAACAAUGCAAUCCAACUACAAACCAAGAUAAACCUUAUACAACUUCAUAAUAAAAAUAAAUUCCAGAUAACAAGCUAAAUUAUUAAAACAAGGUUAAGAGUGCUCAAAGAGUAGAUUUGUAACUUCUUCAAAUCAAAUCGGUGACCGAUCACCAAAUUUGUCUUUGAUAACAUGUACACACCAAAAUCUCCAACUGUUGCUAUAACUUUGCCUUUCCGCAGUGCUUACCUAAAUUUGGUGUCCUCAAUACCAUCAUUGUUCAAAGCCACAAAUUUGAAGGGGUGCAAAUUUGAAACUUGUGAAAGCGGAACCUUUGCAAAGCUCCUUCGAACUCUUUCGAAAUUGGAUUGUACACGAACAAAACCCAAGGGAAGGAAAACCCCAAAAUCAUACACCAAAAAUCUUAAAUCUAGAUUAGACUAGGGUAGAAAUCUCCCGAAAUGGGAGAGAGAAGUUUCAAGAUCUAAAUUAGUAGAACAAGUUUAAGAGUCACAUGCUCAAAGAGCAUAUCUGUAACUUCUUCAAAUCAAAUCGGUGGCCGAUCACUGAAUUCAUCUUCAGUAAUGCGUACACACAAAGGUCUCCAAUUGUUACUACAGCUUUGCCUUUCGGCGAUGCAUACCUAAAUUUUGUGUGCUCAAUACCAUCAUUAUUCAAAGCCACAAGGUUGAACGGGUGCAAAUUUGAUACCUGUGAAAAUGAAACCUUUGCAAAGCUCCUUCAAACUCUUUUGAAAUUGGAUUUGUACACCAACGAAACCUAAAGAAGCGAAACCCCAAAAUCAUACACCAAAAAUCCCUAAAUCUAGAUUAGAUUGGGGGUAGAAAUCUCCGUGAAAUGGGAGAGAGAAGUUUCAAGAUCUAAAUUAGAUGAGAAGAGAAAAACUCCACAAAACGGGAGGAAAGCAAAACAAGAAAACAUAGAUCUAAAUUUGCCAAAGAAAAAAAGGGAAGGGAGGGAGAGAUUUAGCUGAAACCCUCCUCUUCACAGUGGUUAAAAAAACGGCUACGUAAUGAAGAGAGGAGAGAAAAAAAUAACCCUAAGCAUGUUGUAAGUCACAUUUAAUCCUAAAACUCUUUUUCUUCAAUUAUUUAAAUUCUAAAACCUGUCAUCGUCCUUCAAAUUAGUCAUUCCAUUAACUCCCUAUCCUUCCUCUUUAAUGGAUGAAAAGGUCCAAGUUGGCAUUUUUUAUUAUUUAUUUCAUCCCUGUGGCUGAGAAUCUUGCUAAAAUCUAAAACAGUGUUGUUUAACGCAAAAACUAAUGUUAAUCCAAUUACUCUUUUAUAAAAUUAUCUAAUAACGAAAAAUGAAUUAAUUUUUUGUAGCUCAUAAAAUUAAUAGGAAAGGGAGUAGAAGUGCGUUAAUCCCCUAUGUCACGCCCCAAACCUCGAGCAAGUGCACAUCCCUCAAUGGUCGAUGUAACUGCGACGUCUCAGGACGCAUCAUCAACCCCUUUCUUUUAAUUGCACAUGCGGAAGCGUAUAACAAAAUUCCCAGACAACACAAAUAUGGGAUAGAAAAGCAAGAUGCCAUUUUCACCAAAACACUUUUCAUAAACAAACUAGUUUAUACACAGAGUCCAACUCUAAGGUCUAUGUACAGACUAUCUCCAAAAAGAACUAUUGAGCCAUCCAUGCUCCUAACCCUUCCGUCUCAAGCUCCGGGUUUUUCACACUAGGGACCUGAAAAGAUAAGCCCACGACGGCAAGUUCACCUCCUAAGCCUCGAUUAGUACACCAACUCUAUCACGCCCCGAUCCUUGGACGUGUGCCCAUCCCUUGGUGGUCGAUUAAAAAUUGCGACUUCCCAAGACGAGUUGCCAACCCUUUUUAUUUUAUUGCACAUGCAGAAGCGAAUAACAAAUUCCCUAACAAUAAUUACCUCGGGAUAGAAAAACAUGACAACAGAUUCACAAACAAAACAUGCUUUUAUAUACACACUGAGUCAUGUACAAAAGUCUACAACCAAAAAGACUUCAAAAGAUCGACUCUCAAAAGAAGUUGUUAUAUCUGACCAACAGUUCAUAUCACCUCAACUAGGCUCCAGAUCCUCCACUCUACGACCCCAAAAAGAAAUGAACCCAUGACGGGGAGAGAUAUAAAUCUUAGCAAGUUCACGCUCUAAACCUCGAUUAGGAGGGUAAUACGUCUAAAGGCAUCCUAACCACACAACCAUACAACCAUAGAGACUUACAUCGUUUCAAAUCCUCCCUGCAGGUCAACACAGUUCAUAUCACAAAUAGCCACAAAAGCAUGAGCAAUAAACAAGCUCAUCAACCGGAAUGCCACACUCAAAUUUCAAAUAAGCAUGGGGGUUCUGAUUAUAGAGCCAAAUUGUUAUGACACAUCUCAUACUAUGCCACACAAUUUUGUCCCAUAAUCUGGCGCAUUCAACUCAAUUAAUCAUGUGUUCCUAGUUUUAAUCUCGGCUUAUAGCACAACCUACUCGUUGUUUGGCGGUCUUCUGGCAUAGCCAUGCGUCAUCUCACCCCAUUGAGCAUGGCUACGUCUUUCCUAGACGGAUUUCCCGAAAGAGCAUAGAUCCAUAAUCUACUGUGAUUGGCUUCCGUUGUCCAGGGGCAACCCAUAUAGGGGCUUUGUCCAGCUUAAUAGCCUGGGAUGGGUUCUCUUAACCAACACACGAUCACUCAAUUAUGGCCAACGACACUGUGCAUUGUAUUCAAAUGUCUCAAUUAAAAUAAUGCACUUGGCUCAUUUUCCUCGUAUUAAAAACAUCCGGUGAAAAUUGUUGUGUGUAGGUACAUGGUCAAAUCGAACCAGAAAAAUUGAUACCCUCCUCUUAAAAUCCCACUAUUUUAUAUAGUACUUAAAACUAUUUUCGAUAUCAAAACCCGACACUUGGGAUUUUCUGAAUAAAUAUUGAAAUUCACAAAUUUUGGGAUAAAUAACCAAAAUUCCAAUCAGCACUCAAUUUGCACAAAAUAACACCAAAUUGCAUAAACUGAACACACCAUUGCAAUUAAUACGAAAUUCCAGUCACCAACUAUUCUGGUCUAAUUUUCGAAAAAUAUUAAAUAUUCAAAUAAUUUUCAAAAUUAUUUAAAUACAUACAUAUUAAUUCAAUAAAUACCAACUUAGGCUAAAAAUUGCUAAUCUAACCACCUAUUGGACUUAUAAAAUUAUACUAACCAUUCUAACUUCAAGGCCACAUAAUAAACUAUCUAACUAAAAUUUCUAACCACCUAAUUUACUAUUUUACAAACCUAAAUUAACUAAACAAGCUAAUAACUACACUAAUCUAAUCUUACUUUAAUCUAAACACCCCUUAAGCGUCAUUAACAUCCUAAUUAGAGUUUAGUGCAUAAACUCACCGGUUUAGCGCGAAAACCGGUUCACCGCGACGGCAGCGCGACGGCAGCCGAAGCUCGAGCUCACGGCGACGCCAACAGGAGACAAACCGAAGCUGAAAACGGCCCCGCAAGUCAUAGCCAAGGGGUUGGACUCGGUUCUGAUUGAGGCUGGCUUUGGCUUGGUUUGGCUGAGUUGCGGUGGACGCGGCAACGUCGGAGCGGAAAGGUUGGGCUUGCGAUUCCUAGACGUAUGGCCGUAAAAUGGAGGAGAAACGAACAGAGAUGGCAGCUGGCGCACGAAGGCGCUGCAAGGGGCUGCUUCGGUCAACGUUAGGGGCUUCGCUUGGAGUGGAGUUGACUUAGACGUGGCAGCUGGGAUGGCUUCGGUGGGAGAGACAAGCAGUGGUGGUAGAGUAGAGAAACGAGACCGAGAAUGAGGGAAAAGGAAGCAGGUGCUGGCGGAGAGAGAGAGAAAACGAUGGAGCUGCUUCGGUGAAGGAAUAAAGGAACGAAAGCAGAAGACAUAGGGGUCGGUCGAACUGGCGUGCGCGAAAGAAAGACCGAAGGAGAGGGGCAGCUUGGCGUGAGGAGGAAGCUGCGGUUUGGGGGGGAAUAAGUCAACAAAAUUAUCCACUCAAUUAAAUGCUUGGUUUAUAAGCCUUCAAGUUAAUCCCCUUUGUCCCCAUCACUUUCAUGCAUCUAAAUCCCCACAAAUAACAAUUUAUGACGCCAAAUGUUGUAGCCCCCUUCAAGCCUCCGAAUUUCCUCACUUUGGACUUCAAUUCUUCACCAAAUUCCCCAAUUUAAUAUCCAAAUUUGCUAAGGAGGAAGCCCACACUAUUUCUACAAUUUCUUUUCACCAAAUAGUUCACUUUGGAGGCCAAAAAUCCCUUCAAUUUGGUCCAUUUGAAUUUUUGUUCUUUUCCGAAUCGUCCGAAUUGAUUUUCCGUAAAAAUCCCGAGCUCGCCGAAAAUUCUUCGAAUGAUGAGUUGACGUUUCUAAAAUAAAUUAUGACAUAUCAUAACUUUUAAUUUCUGAAAUCGGGUUCAAAUUUGCGGUUAAUUUCAAUCUGGCGAUUUUAGCAUGACCUAACUUACUAGGUAGCUUUUAUGAAUUUUUUAUGCAAUUGACCUGUGGUUGAUUAUUUUCAAGCCAUAAUGUACAUCUUCAAUGCAUUGAUGACUCUCAGUUGUCGUGAAAAUUUCGAGGUUUCAAAUAUGGACAUAGGGUAUAAGGUAUAGAAAUGACAGAAAAAUCGGUCUAGUGCCGUUCGAUAGAAAUUUUGCAAUUAGGUGGAAUCAUCCACACACUAAUCACAUAUCUCUAUCGCAUCGACCUAUCUCUAGUCUAUGAUCAAUUUUUUACUGUGCCGUAAUGACCCUUGCAUAUCAGUAUGGUCGAGUAGUCGAUUAUUGGUCGAAUUCUCAGGUCUAUUGCGUUUAGAUUCUUCAACGGCUUCACCUGAUAGACUAGUUAUCCCGUUAGUGAUCAGCUCAGGGAAAAGAACUAUAGCCGCAUCAAUGAAAAACCCAACUUAUUCAAUCGAAAACAGAGCCUGAAAUUCAGGAUGUCACAAACUCAACUCGGGGUAUCUCUCUAGAACCACCCCAUAAACAAAGCAACGGCUAACACCCAACAAUCAACAAAUAACACAAUCAGGGCCAACUAACAAUCAAUUAGUCGGUUCACAUGCAACCUUAUCGAGCACAACAUUCCCUACACGUUGCAUCUCAACACAAUACACGAAAUACACAUGGCCCUUAGAUGAUAUAGUUCAUCAAUCACACACUAGUCGCGUCACAAGUGAUCUCACCUAGCCAUUACCACACCCUACACGCUAUUGAUUCAUGCGUGCGUGUCAUAAAAAAUGUGCCCAACUCAUGCACAGUCAAAACCAAUGAUGCCAUGAUUCACAUACGCUCUUGCACUUUAGUGCGCCACCCAUCAUGCAUUAAUUGAUCACACUGGUUCCGAUCAUAAGGUGAAAUCGCUAUGACAUAUCCCAUACCAUGCCACACAAUUUUACCUCAUAAUAAGACCCAACCAUCUCAACACUCACGCGUGUUCCACUUAUUAAUGACCUCCCGGCCGUGGCUAACUUUCCAGUCAACGAUCAUCGACCUCAACACUCGUGCGUGCUCCAGUUAUUAAUGACCUUCUAGUCAUGGCUAACUUACCAGUUAGCGAUCAUCUGACUCCUGCCAAGAUACCAAUAAAUAUCGGGCUUCGUCCCACCCCAUCGGGCACGGCUACAUUUAGAACUCUCGUUUAGACAGUAUCCCAAAAAUGGACAUCGAUCCAGAAUCUACCGGAUUGGCUUCUGACUCCCAUCAGGUAUCGCCCCCAAACUCCCGUUGGGUGACGGAUUCCACUUCUUGAUCAUGCAAGUACACCACUAAGACUCCCUUUUUAUCUUUGAGCAUUUAAUCAAUGCACAAUACUUACAAAUACAAUUUCAAAUCAUUUUCCCCUAAAGGUGGUCCAUUUCGGUAUCUCUCGGACAAAGCAUAUUUCCCUUUUUUGUGAAAAUCACUCAAUUCAUGUAGAUACCCAUACAUUUAUACACUCAAAUCACCUCAUAAGAUCAAAGCACAUAAAUUUAGACAACUUUUCAUUCUUGGGUGGACAGUGCGCGUGAACAGUACCUCGUGAACAAUAUUCAAAUGAACAGUGAAUUUCCAGAAUUAAAUAACCAAUAAAUUAAAUCCAAACGCCAUUAAAAACACUAAUUAAAGCAAGCAAUAAAUCAAUUAAAGCUAAACAAGCUUAAUUAAGUACAUAAGCAUCAUUAACCCAAUAAAGCAAGAUUAAGCUAAACUAAUCUUAGUCAUUCAUCUAACCACCUAUCUUAGGACUAGUAUAGCUUAAUUAAAUCUCUUAAACUAGAUUCAACACUAAUUAAACCAACCCUAAGCAAGUUUAUUAUUUAAAUAUUAAAAUAUGUCAACGCUGCUCCAAUUUUCAUUGGAUAAUGCCAAUGAAAAUUCUUACACUUGUGUCAGUCCGUCACAUUUAGUUUUCAAAUUCCUUUUCUCGAUUAUUUAAUUAUUAAAAUAUGUCGUCAUCCUUCAAGUUAGUCAUUUCAUUAACUUCCCAACUUUUAGUUGAUGGAAAAGUCUAGGCUGGCAUUUUUUAUUAUUUAUUUCCUCCACAAGGGCGACAUUUUGCGUUCAUCCUUUUAUGUUUUAUAAAAUUAUUUAUUAAAGAAAAAUGAAAAUGUUUUUUUUUUUUUUUUGAGAUUGUAAGAUUAAAAGGAAAGGGGGACGGCAAUGUGUUGUGCCCUCUAUAGCCAACCUCCCUGUCGGGGUCGAGGUAAGGGUGGUUGGCCCUCACUUAGCCACAAGCGCAAGCUACAAUUCUUGCAACCACCAGGCAAGGGCUGCUGCAACCAUCAAGCAAGGGCCCUUGCCUAUGAAUCAAGAUAAACGUCAAGUGGUGCCUUUAUCAAAUAUCGCUAUGGUGCCGAGGGAUGUCAAUUGCAAUUUCGGGGAGGACAAACUGUCCGCCAUCAAAUAGAGAAGUCUAACUAGUAGCCACUGACCAUUAUCAGAAAGCAGAAAUUUUAGCACUUUGAAAAAGACAACCACUGGAUAGAUAGUAUGUAUCAUGGGACCACCAGUUUUCUCAAUGAUGUGAUAUCUCUAUGGCUAAUCAAACAAUCCAAAUUGCAUUAGUCAAAUACAAAUAAAGUAACAAAAGGAGAAUCAUUUCCUGCGUUACUGAUGUGAAAUUAAUGGAAUCACAAACUUUUACCUAAACCGCAUAAAAUGAUUUACUAAAUUUGUAAAUUAAAUAAGACGUGAAACAAACUAAUUAUAAUUAGAUCAAAUAUGGAAGAAUGGUUGCACAGUUUGUGAUGGCACAAAGAAAUCAAAAUUAAUUUGUACACUUUAUUCACUCGCUAGCACACAUGCAUAUAUCAAACAUAGUUACUAAUCUACUCCCAUGGAAUAAGUGAGAGCACCUCAUCUCCAAUUCCACAACAUUUCCGAAGUUGGCUAUGGCAACGCUGCUCCAAUUUUCAUUGAAUAAUGACAAUGAAAAUUCUUACACUCGUGUCAGUUUGUCACAUUUAGUUUUCAAAUUCUUUUUCACGAUUAUUUAAAUAUUAAAAUAUGUCGUCAUCCUUCAAGUUAGUCAUUUCAUUAACUUCCCAACUUUGAGUUGAUGGAAAAGUUUAGGCUGGCAUUUUUUAUUUAAUUAUUUCCUCCACAAGGGUGACAUUUUGUGUUCGUCCUUUUAUGUUUUAUAAAAUCUUUUAUUAAAGAAAAAUGAACAAGUUUUUUUUUUUUAAAAGCUUGUAAGAUUAAAAUGAAUGGGGGACGGCAAUGUGUUGUGCCCUCUAUAUCCAACCUCCCUUGUCCGGGUCAAGGUAACAGUGGUUGGACCUCACUUGGCCAUAGGCGCAGGCUACUAUUCUCGCCACCACCUGGGCAAGGGCUGCCGCGACCAUGAAGCAAGGGCCCUUGCCUGUGAAUAAAGAUACACGUCAAGUGCUGCCUCUAUCAAAUAUCGCUCCAGUGCCGGGGGAAGUAAAUUGCAAUUUCGGGGAGGACAAAUCGUCCGCCAUCGAAUAGAGACUUCCAACUAGUAGCCAAUGACCAUUGUUGGAAAGCAGAAAUUUUAGCACUUUGAAAAAGACAACCACUGGAUAGAUAGUUUGUAUCACGAGACCAUCAGUUUUGUCAAUGAUGUGAUAUCUCUAUGGCUAAUCAAACGAUCCAAAAUGGCUCAGUCAAAUACGGAUAAAGUAACAAAAGGAGAUUCAAUUCAUGGGUCAAUGAGGUGAAAUUAAUGGAAUCACAAACUUUCAAGUAAACCGCAUGAAAUGAUUUACUAAAUUUGUAACUUAGAUAAGACGUGAAACAAAAUGAUUAUAAUUAGCUCAAAUAUGAAAGACUAGUUGCACAGUUUGUGAUGGCACAAAGAAAUCAAAAUCAAUUUGUGCACUUUAUUCGCCCGCUAGCACACAUGCAACCUAGUUACUGAUCUACUCCCAUAACUUAAGUGAGGGCACCUCAUCUCCAAUUCCCAACAUUUCCGAAGUUGGCUACGACAAUGCUGCUCCAAUUUUCAUUGGAAAAUGACAAUGAAAACUCUUACGCUCGUGUCAGUCCGUCACAUUUACCUUUCAAAUUCUUUUUCUCGAUUAUUUAAAUAUUAAGAUAUGUCGUCAUCCUUCAAGUUAGUCAUUUCCUUAACUUCUCAACUUUUAGUUGAUGGAAAAGUCUAGGCUGACAUUUUUUAUUAUUUAUUUCCUCCACAAGGGAGACAUGUUGUUUUCAUCCUUUUAUGUUUUAUAAAAUCAUUUGUUAAAGAAAAAUGAGUUUUUUUUUUUUUUUUAAGCUUGUAAGAUUAAAAGGAAAGGGGGAUGUCAAUGUGUAGUGCCCUCUAUAGCAACCUCCCUUUUCAGGUUCGAGGUAAGGGUGGUUGGCCCUCACUUGGCCAUAAGCACAGGCUACUAUUCUCGCCACCACCAUGCAAGGGCAGCUGCGACCAUCAAGAGAGGGCCCUUGCCUGUGAAUAGAGAAGUCCAACUAGUAGCCAAUGACCAUUGUCGGAAAGCAGAAAUUUUAGCACUUUGAAAAAGACAACCACUAGAUAUAUUGUAUGUAUCAUGGGAGCACCAGUUUUCUCAAUGAUGUGAUAUCUCUAUGGCUAAUCAAACAAUCCAAAUUGGAUUAGUCAAAUAUGAAUAAACUAACAAAAGGAGAUUCAUUUCGUGGGUCAGUGAUGUAAACUUAAUGGAAUCACAAACUUUGAUGUAAACCGCAUGAAAUGAUUUACUAAAUUUCUAAAUUAGAUACGACGUGAAACAACAUGAUUAUAAUUAGCUCAAAUAUGGAAGGCUGGUUGCACAGUUUGGGAUGGCACAAAGAAAUCAAAAUUAAUUUGUGCACUUUAUUCACCCGCUAGCACACAUGAAUAUAUCAAACCUAGUUACUAAUCUACUCCCAUGGGUUAAGUGAGAGCACCUCAUCUCCAAUUCCAGAACAUCUCCGAAGUUGGCUACGACAAUGCUGCUCCAAUUUUCAUUGCAUAAUGAUAAUGAAAAUUCUUACACUCGUGUCAGUCCGUCACGUUUAGUUUUCAAAUUGUUUUUCACGAUUAUUUAAAUAUUAAAAUAUGUCGUCAUCCUUCAAGUUAGUCAUUUCAUCAACUUCCCAACUUUUAGUUGAUGGAAAAGUCUAGAUUCGCAUUUUUUAUUAUUUAUCUCCUCUACAAGGGCGACAUGUUGUGUUCAUCCAUUUAUAUUUUAUAAAAUCAUAUACUAAAGAAAAAUGAACAUGUUUUUUUUUUUUUGAGCUUGUAGGAUUAAAAUGGGGGACGGCAAUGUGUUGUGGGCUCUAUAGCCAACCUCCCUUGUCGAGGUGAAGGUAAGGGUGAUUGGCCCACACUAAGCCAUACCUGCAGGCUAUGAUUCUCGCCACCAUCAGGCAAGGGCUGCUGCGACCAUGAAGCAAUGGCCCUUGCCUUUGAAUCAAGAUAAACAUCAAGUGGUGCCUUUAUCAAAUAUCGCUCUAGUGCCGGGGAAUGUCAAUUGCAAUUUUGGGGGAGGACAAAUUGUCUGCCCGAAUAGAGACGUCAAACUAGUAGCCAAUGACCAUUGUCGGAAAGCAGAAAUUUUAGCACUUUGAAAAAGACAACCACUGGAUAGAUUUUAUGUAUCACGAGACCACCGAUUUUCUCAAUGAUGUGAUAUCUCUAUGGCUAAUCAAACAAUCCAAAUUGGAUUAGUCAAACACGAAUAAAGUAACAAAAGGAGAUUCAUUUCCUGGGUCAGUGAUGUGAAAUUAAUGGAAUCACAAACUUUGAUGUAAACCGCAUGAAAUGAUUUACUAAAUUUGUAAAUUAGAUAAGACGUGAAACAAAAUGAUUAUAAUUAGCUCAAAUAUGGAAGACUAGUUGCACAGUUUCUGAUGGCGCAAAGAAAUCAAAAUUAAUUUGUGCACUUUAUUCACCCGCUAGCACACAUGCAUAUAUCAAACCUAGUUACUAAUAUACUCCCAUGGGUUAAGUGAGAGCACCUCAUCUCCAAUUCCACAACAUUUCCGAAGUUGGCUAUGACAACGCUACUCCAAUUUUCAUUGGAUAAUUACAAUGAAAAUUCUUACACUCAUGUCAGUCCGUCGAAUUUAGUUUUCAAAUUUUUUUCUCAAUUAUUUAAAUAUUAAAAUAUGUCGACAUCCUUCAAGUUAGUCAUUUCAUUAACUUCCCAACUUUUAGUUGAUGGAAAAGCAUAGGCUGGCAUUUUUUAUUAUUUAUUUCCUCUACAGGGGCGACAUUUUGUGUUCAUCCAUUUAUUUUUUAUAAAAUUAUUUAUCAAAGAAAAAUGACUUGUUUUUUCUUCUUCUUUUUUUGAGCUUGUAAGAUUAAAAUGGGGGACGGUAAUGUGUUGUGGCCUCUAUAACCAACCUCCCUUGUCGGGGUCGAGGUAAGGUUGGUUGGCCCUCACUUGGCCAUAAGCGCAGGCUACGAUUCUCGCCACCACCAAGCAAGAGCUGUUGCAACCAUGAAGCAAGGGCCCUUGCUUGUGAAUCAUGAUAAACGUCAAGUGGUGCCUUUAUCAAAUAUCGCUCUGGUGCCGGGGGAUGUCAAUUGCAAUUUCGGGGAGGACAAAUUAUCCGCCAUCGAAUAGAGACGUCCAACUAGUAGCCAAUGACCAUUGUCAAAAAGCAGAAAUUUUAGCACUUUGAAAAAGACAACCACUGGAUAGAUUGUAUGGAUCACAAGACCACCCGUUUUCUCAAUGAUGCGAUAUCUCUAUGGCUAAUCAAACAAUCCAAAUUGGAUUAGUCAAAUACGAAUAAAGUAACAAAAGGAGUUUCAUUUCCUGGGUCAGUGAUGUGAAAUUAAUGGAAUCACAAACUUUGAUGUAAACCGCAUGAAAUGAUUUACUAAAUUCAUAAAUUAGAUAAGACGUGAAACAAAAUGAUUAUAAUAAGCUCAAAUAUGGAAGACUGGUUGCACAGUUUGUGACGGCACAAAGAAAUUAAAAUUAAUUUGUGCACUUUAUUCACCCGCUAGCACACAUGCAUAAAUCAAGCCUAGUUACUAAUCUACUCCCAUGGGUUAAGUGAGAGCACCUCAUCUCCAAUUCCACAACAUUUCCAAAGUUGGCUACGACAAUGCUGCUCCAAUUUUCAUUGGAUAAUGACAAUGAAAAUUCUUACACUCGUGUCAGUCCGUCACAUUUAGUUUUCAAAUUCUUUUUCUCGAUUAUUUAAAUAUUAAAAUAUGUUGUCAUCCUUCAAGUUAGUCAUUUCAUUAACUUCCCAACUUUUAGUUGAUGGAAAAGUCUAGGCUGUUAUUAUUUCCUCUACAAGGGCGACAUUUUGUGUUCAUCAAUUUAUAUUUUAUAAAAUUAUUUAUUAAAGAAAAAUUAACUUGUUUUUUUUUUUUUUUUGAGCUUGUAAGAUUAAAAGGAAAGGGAGACGGCAACGUGUUGUGCCCUCUAUAGCCAACCUCCCUUGUGGGGGUCGAGGUAAGGGUGGUUGGCCCUCACUUGGCCAUAAGCGCAAGCUACGAUUCUCGCCACCACCAGGCAAGGGCUGCGACGAUCUGAAGCAAGGGCCCUUGCCUAUGAAUCAAGAUAAACGUCAAGUGAUACCUUUAUCAAAUAUGAUUUAUAUUAUUGUAACUCAAUGAACCAAAAAAAUGAAACUCAAUGAAACCAAAAAGAAAAACAAAGUUCUUGGUAGACCUUGGAAUCAAACUACAAAAUAGGACACGUUCUAGGGUCGGUUUUUGGACAAAUAGGGUAGGUUACAAGUUUCAAAAACUGAUAAUUAGUUCUACCAGAGCACGUUCUAAAUUUCAAAUUCUAGGUUUAGAAUACGUUCACCCCUUAAAUUCCUUAUUGAUUGUACAUCAGAAUAUAAUAUAGUGUAAUACAAUAAUUAUGGGCAAGAAAUGAGAUUUCGUUAAUAAAGUAAGUGCUAAAAUUACAACAUCAGAUGACUAAAAGAUUUAUUUACGAUUGAGAUUAAAGAGAUGCUCUUGAGAGUGUCCUCCAGAGAAAUGCAUAAGGACGGUGAUUUGAACCUAGGAGCAUGUACGGAUCGCUUGGUGAUUUGUUUUAUAUGCCAGUUCACUUUAUAAGUAAAGCCAACGACUUCUGGAAAAAAUAUAUCAGUACAGGCCAAGCCCCAACCUGUUCCUUGAACACCAUGAGAAACUCGUCAUUUCUCCUUGCGCUUGUUCUCUCAAUCCUUCACUUGUCUUCUCAACCUUCCGCUGCAACUCGCACUACUUUGAGCAGAGGCGACUCUCUCUCCAUUGAUAACCCGGAUGACAUCCUCAUCUCAAAAUCUGGUGUCUUCUCCGCCGGUUUUUACCCCGUCAGCAAGAGCGCUUACUGCUUUGCCAUCUGGUUCAGCCAUCCACCAUGCAGCAGCCAGAAUUGCACCGUAGUUUGGAUGGCAAACCGCAAUGAACCUGUCAACGGGAGGUACUCUAAGCUUUCUAUUAAAAAGAACGGUGAUCUCGUGCUAACCGAUGCCAGCCACACUGUUGUUUGGGCCAUAGAUACAGCCUCAUUCUCAUGGUCGAAAACACCGGUUCAUCAGUUACGACUCCUAGACUCUGGUAAUCUUGUUCUUCUUGACAGAGAAGGUAACGUCCCACUCUGGCAAGCUUCAACUACCCGACCGACGUGCUCCUCCCUGGACAGAACCUCACCUGGAACACACCACUCGUUUCCUCUCGGAGCAACGGCAGCUUCUCUUCUGGCUAUUACAAGUUAUACUUCGACAACGACAACGUCCUUUGUCUCCUCUUCGAUGGACCUUUGAUCUCAAGAGUAUACUGGCCAGACCCGGCCUAUGUGAGUUGGGAAGUUGGAAGAACAACCAACAACUAUAGUAGAGUUGCAGUGCUCGAUUCCAUGGGGAAUUUCACUUCAUCUGACAAUCUGACGUUCCUGACGUCGGAUUUUGGCAAGAAAACACAACGUAUGUUAAAGGUGGAUCAUGAUGGUAAUGUAAGGGUCUAUAGUAGAGAAAAAGAUGAAAAGUGGGUUGUAACAUGGCAAGGCUUAUCUGAGUCAUGUGCUGUUCAUGGGACUUGUGGACCGAAUAGCGUUUGCAGGUACAGCCCGAGGGAGGGGAGGAGUUGCUCUUGCCCUCCGGGAUAUGUGUGGAAUAAUGACACUGAUUGGACUCAGGGAUGUGCGCCCAAAUUCGAGAGCUUCUGCAACCCGGGUUCUGAUGCUCAUGUCGAUUUCCUGCGUUUGCCUCACCAUGAUUUCUAUGGAUAUGAUAAGGACUAUUUUCCAAACACUACCCUGGCGUCGUGCAAGAAAAUGUGCGCAGAUCUUUGCAAUUGUAAAGGCUUUCAAUACAAAUUCAACGGGGAAAAAGGGAGCUUCGACUGUUUCCCCAAGAUACAGCUGUUAAAUGGAUAUAUUUCCUUCUCAUUUAUUGGGAGCACUUAUUUGAAACUACCAAAAGCUAAUCUCUCUUCUUAUCAAAUACCCAGCAAAGGAUUCGACCCACUGCCCUGUCCCCCAAAAGCUCAAGAAGUUGUCACUUAUCUGAAAGGCCACCAGAAUUCGACACUUGAGAUCUUGCUCAUUUUUUGCAACAGCGCUGGCUGGAGUGGAAAUUGUUGUAGUCUUCCUCACAUGGUCCUUUUUGGUCAGGACUAAUCCUGACAAACGGGGAGGUUAUGCAAAGGGAUAUCGUCUUGCGGGGACAGGAUUUACAAGGUUCACAUAUGCCGAGCUAAAGAAAGCGACCAGGAACUUUAACAAAGAGAUUGGAAGAGGAAGUGGGGGGAUUGUGUACAAGGGUGUCCUGCCAGAUCAUGGGGAAGCAGCGGUCAAGCUGCUAAACGAGGAAAAUCAAGGAGAAGAUGAGUUCCUGGCUGAAGUGAGAACAAUUGGGAAUCUCAAUCACAUGAACCUGAUUGCGAUGUGGGGUUACUGCGUGGAGGGAAGGCACAGGCUCUUGGUUUAUGAGUUCAUGAAUCACGGUUCCUUGGCAGAAAACCUUUCUUCCGAUCAACUCGACUGGAAGAAGAGGUAUGAGAUCGCGGUGGGAUCAGCCAAGGGG
rnacentral:lncRNA from 1 species